UAUCCGGGAUCUAGUGGUGGCGUAAACAUCCUGUCCAAGCUUUCUAGAAACUCAUUCAUGUUUUAAAACAUUUUAGAAGAUUUUGAAUAUUGGUAAGGCUUUGAAAUGGAUACGAAGUUCCGGGAUACUUUUUAACCACAGAAAUUAAGGCUUUUGAAAACUUCACAGGACCUGUAGGGGAAGUUUUGAAGAUAGGUGAGAAAUUUGAAAUUUUUUGGUGUUGGUUAGCCUUUUAAGCUAGUGCAACCAUUGAGCCCUUUGAGCAGUUUUACUUCAUAUAGUGAUGGCCAUUCUUUUACCUACCCCGAAAUUUUUUGUCACAGGGGUUUGACAUUGAACUUGAUUGGGUACUUGAUCUUUUGGUCAUCAUACGGGUUAGACAUCUUCUUGUCUUGACUCUUUUACGGGGCGUUUGAGUUUCAUGUUUUUUUGGACUUCUUUCAACUAAAUUUGAAUGGUGAGCCACUUUGGCUGGUGUCACCUUGGAGUUAUGUGAAUCUGAACAUGAUUAGAUGAAGGCUGUUUAAAAUUUUUGAUUUUUUGGGGUGUAUCAGACACAAUGGGGGACUUCUCUAACUGUUCAGGGCUUCAUUUGGAGCUGAUUUCACUCUCUUAUGAGUGUUGAAUAUUGAUUCCUCAUUUUCUUGAUUUUUCCUUCUUUUUUCCAUUUUUUUUAGUGGGUGUGGGGUGAACCACCACCUUUACCCUCUUCUCUUUUUCUUCUUUUCAUUUUUCAGGAAUUUUCAAAAAAAAAAAAAAUAUCACUUUCCCUCCUCAUCUCCAGUUUGGUUCUCUCUCUCUCUCAUAGAUUUGAGAGUUCAGGAUCCAAGGACCCCUACUACUCUGUGAUCUUUCAUCACUUCAAAGGUUCUUUGGCAGCAUUUUCUCCCUUUUCCACUAUGGAUUUGUCUCCUUGAGUCUUCAAUCUCUAGAUCCAUACUAGAUAUGGCAUCUUAGUAGCAAUGGUGGGCCGAGGAUCGACACAUUUCCGUUCGAAGGGGCAUGUUAGCUAUGCAACUUUCUUGUUUCCUGGAUGUGUAUAGGAGGCAGUCAGAUCUUUUAACUGGCAGUUCAUUGAGAUGAUUUGCUAGUUCCCACUGGUGAGUUCGGCACUCGAGCACGCUAGUGGUGAUCCGACACAAGCAGUUUGUGGCUAGAGGGUAGUCUUGGGAAGACAACAGAUCCCUGCUCUCUUAUAGCUUCAAGAGGCAAUGGUGAGCGUAGUGUGCGCUCGAGGACUAGCAAGCAGGAGGCAACCAAUGGCUUUUAGGCCAACUCGAGAGAUGAGGACUCAGCUCCUGUUAUAUUUAUCUUCUUUUAUGUUAUACACAUAGUGAUAGCACUUGACUAUGGGAGUCGAGCAGCAGAGUGGUGGCGACAGACAUUUGACGCUUCAGACCUGUCAAGGAUCCCUUUUUGCAUAGUAGGUGUCUAGUGGUGAGGCCACUGUGUUGUUUUGGUGUGAUGUACUAUAAAGUCAGGCUUGUAAGCCUUG